rnacentral:rRNA from 1 species
GAUGAACGCUGGCGGCGUGCCUAAUACAUGCAAGUAGAACGCUGAAGCUUGGUGCUUGCACCGAGCGGAUGAGUUGCGAACGGGUGAGUAACGCGUAGGUAACCUGCCUCUUAGCGGGGGAUAACUAUUGGAAACGAUAGCUAAUACCGCAUAAAAGUCGAUAUCGCAUGAUAUUGAUUUGAAAGGUGCAAUUGCAUCACUAAGAGAUGGACCUGCGUUGUAUUAGCUAGUUGGUGAGGUAACGGCUCACCAAGGCGACGAUACAUAGCCGACCUGAGAGGGUGAUCGGCCACACUGGGACUGAGACACGGCCCAGACUCCUACGGGAGGCAGCAGUAGGGAAUCUUCGGCAAUGGACGGAAGUCUGACCGAGCAACGCCGCGUGAGUGAAGAAGGUUUUCGGAUCGUAAAGCUCUGUUGUAAGAGAAGAACGAGUGUGAGAGUGGAAAGUUCACACUGUGACGGUAACUUACCAGAAAGGGACGGCUAACUACGUGCCAGCAGCCGCGGUAAUACGUAGGUCCCGAGCGUUAUCCGGAUUUAUUGGGCGUAAAGCGAGCGCAGGCGGUUAGAUAAGUCUGAAGUUAAAGGCUGUGGCUUAACCAUAGUACGCUUUGGAAACUGUUUAACUUGAGUGCAGAAGGGGAGAGUGGAAUUCCAUGUGUAGCGGUGAAAUGCGUAGAUAUAUGGAGGAACACCGGUGGCGAAAGCGGCUCUCUGGUCUGUAACUGACGCUGAGGCUCGAAAGCGUGGGGAGCGAACAGG